rnacentral:misc_RNA from 1 species
GUUGGUAUUGGUGGCGUUGGUAUUGAUCUUGAUAUUGAUAUUGUUAGUGCUGUCUAAUGGUGCCGCCGAGAAGAAAAAAAUGGACGGAAGCAGAAGAGAGAACCCUAAUUGAGAAAUAUGGUGAGAUGGUCUCUGAUGGGACCCUUGCCAAAAUGAAAACUCGAGAGAAGAAAUAUAAACCCAUUGCAUUGUAUGUGAAUUAUGUGCACCAUGUUCGCGAUCCUGUCACCUACCCUUGGCAGUGGACUUGGAAAGAUGUGUCC